UCUCUCUUCCUUCUCGCCGGAAAUCGCCGCCGUCGCCGGAAUCCCAAUCCUCACCAAAAUUUCCAGAUUUUCUUCUCUUCAUCCCCUCUUUCCAUUUCUCCAAUCAAAAUCAAGAAAUUUUGCCAUUUAAUCCUCCAAAAACCCUAGAUCCUGAAGCCAAAUUGGGGCUUUUUGUCAUUUCUUCUUUCCAAGCUCAAAUCAAGGUAAUCUUCAUCCUAAUCUAGCCUCUAUUCAUCCGAUCUACACCUAUUUCUUCCUAAAUCCGAGUUUUUGAUUUUGAUUUGUGAUUUUGUUUGCAUGAACCCGAUUUUCCCUAAACCAAGAGGCUAGGCUACGGGUUUGGCAAUGAUUUGUGUGAAGAAGGCCAAGGAGGAGGAUUAGGCCGUGAGUUUUGAAGAAGAAAGGGAAACACGAUCGUUAAGGAAGCUUAAGCGGGAAGUACCAGAGUGUGGAAUACGCCGGCAUUUUCCAGGUAGAGUGAGCUAACCCUUCCUUAUUAGAGGCUUUUCGAUAUAUGUGGAAUGCUCUAGCAUAAUGUUAUGUUGCCUGCAAGUAUUUUUGGUUGUUCAUUAAUCGAUGCCUCGUGAUACAUGUGUUUUCGUAACUGAUAACUGUUGAUUGCGAAAACUGAGGCUAGACUUCCAUGUUGAGAUACUAUACCCUUUUGUAUGUUUGUGCUUGUGACCUGAAAGUGAAUGGGACCUAAACGGGUAGAUUCCUAGGGAUCUCAUGGUGUCGAUAACUGUGAACCUCUGGAGGGGGCUGUGCUCCUAUGUUUGUCGAGGAAAGGUGAGUAUAGACAGUGAACCA